rnacentral:rRNA from 1 species
GCGAACGGGUGAGUAUAACAUCGGAACAUACCUUGUAGCGGGGGAUAACUUAACGAAAGUUGAGCUAAUACCGCAUAACAUCUGAGGAUUAAAGCUGGGGACCGCGAGGCCUGGCACUACAAGAUUGGCCGAUGCCUGAUUAGCUAGUUGGUGAGGUAAGAGCUCACCAAGGCGACGAUCAGUAGCAGGUCUGAGAGGAUGAUCUGCCACACCGGAACUGAGAAACGGUCCGGACUCC